UUAUUUCUUCCAUUUUGGUCACUCUUCUUAAUUAUAUUUUAAGUUCUAUUCUUUAACACGUGUCUAGAGAACCCAUUGUCCAGAUUCAUUGGAAUCUUGGGUAGCUAGACACAUUUGCUAAAAAUGAUCAUGUUUUCAACUUAGAAACCCAAGCUCUUUUGGGUCCUUGCAGGUUAGCUAUAAUUGUUCCUUUUGGAACCCAUAUUCUCUUAAUUAUCAUUUUGUCUAUUAGUCUGCAG
rnacentral:lncRNA from 1 species